GCUGGGCACAGUGGUGGUGCAUGCCUGUAAUCCCAGCAGCUUGGAGGCUAAGACAGGAGGAUUGUGAGUUCAAAGCCAGCCUCAGCAAUGGUGAGGCACUAAGCAACUCAGUGAGACCCUGUCUCUA
rnacentral:sRNA from 1 species